rnacentral:lncRNA from 1 species
GUUUUAACAGCUCAUCAUCUAUCGUUGUUCCUAAGAAAACUCUCUUUUAACGCUUUGGAAAUCAUCAAUAGAAUCACAAAUUAAACAAAAUUCAUAUUGACACGUCUACAGAUCGGUGCUGCAAGGAAACUCUAAAGUGUCCGAAACCCAAAAUAAGUAUGUAUAAGUCUAAUCAAGAGCAAGCUUCAUAUCUGACUUCCAACCAAAAAGAUUGCCAUAGUGUCAUGCCGACAAACAAGUGCAUCAUCAUUCAAACUACAUGUUCUGAAAGCUAGCAAACAAAGACAUGGCGUCAUAUAACAAACAAACACGGCAGUAGGUUUACCCAUGUAUGAGUACGGA